rnacentral:rRNA from 1 species
AGAGUUUGAUCCGUCAGGAUGAACGCUGGCGGCGUGCUUAACACAUGCCAAGUCGAACGAUGAACCUGUGCUUGCACGGGGGAUUAGUGGCGAACGGGUGAGUAACACGUGAGUAACCUGCCCUUGACUUCGGGAUAAGCCUGGGAAACUGGGUCUAAUACUGGAUACGACCUCUCACCGCAUGGUGUGGGGGUGGAAAGUUUUUGCGGUUUUGGAUGGACUCGCGGCCUAUCAGCUUGUUGGUGAGGUAAUGGCUCACCAAGGCGACGACGGGUAGCCGGCCUGAGAGGGUGACCGGCCACACUGGGACUGAGACACGGCCCAGACUCCUACGGGAGGCAGCAGUGGGGAAUAUUGCACAAUGGGCGAAAGCCUGAUGCAGCGACGCCGUCGUGAGGGACGACGGCCUUCGGGUUGUAAACCUCUUUCAGUAGGGAACAAGGCAUCAUUUUUGUGGUGUUGAGGUACUUGCAGAAGA